AGAGUUUGAUCCUGGCUCAGAACGAACGUUAGCGGCGCGCCUAAUACAUGCAAGUCGAGCGAGAAAGGGCUUCGGCCCCAGUAAAGCGGCGCACGGGUGAGUAACACGUAGGUUAUCUCCCCUCGAGUGGUGGAUAACCCUCCGAAAGGAGGGCUAAUACAGCAUGAGACCACGACCUUUUAGGUUGCGGUCAAAGCAGGCCUCUUCAUGAAAGCUUGCGCUCAAGGAUGAGCCUGCGGCCCAUCAGCUAGUUGGUAAGGUAACGGCUUACCAAGGCUAAGACGGGUAGCUGGUCUGAGAGGAUGAGCAGCCACACUGGAACUGAAACACGGUCCAGACUCCUACGGGAGGCAGCAGUAGGGAAUCUUGCGCAAUGGACGAAAGUCUGACGCAGCGACGCCGCGUGAGCGAUGAAGGCCUUCGGGUUGUAAAGCUCUGUGGGGAGAGACGAAUAAGGUAUGGCUAACAUCCAUAUCGAUGACGGUAUCUCCUUAGCAAGC
rnacentral:rRNA from 1 species